rnacentral:rRNA from 1 species
GACGUAGGGCGCGAGCGUUGUCCGGAUUUAUUGGGCGUAAAGAGCUCGUAGGCGGCUUGUCGCGUCGAAUGUGAAAACCCACGGCUCAACUGUGGGCUUGCAUUCGAUACGGGCAGGCUAGAGUUCGGUAGGGGAGACUGGAAUCCUGGUGUAGCGGUGGAAUGCGCAGAUAUCAGGAGGAACACCAGUGCGGAAGGCAGAUCUCUGGGCCGUAACUGACGCUGAGGAGCGAAAGCAUGGGGAGCGAACAGGAUUA